GACCGGGAGAGAAAUUUAAGGGGACAUUGAGGGAGAGUCUGGGUUGGAUCUGAGUAAUGGGAGAAGGAGGAGGAGAGAGAGAAGACAACGAGAGCUGAGGAGGGAAAGAAACAACUUUGGGGUUGGGGGAAACCCCAAUCCCAGACUUACCUGGUGAGAGCCAACAAAGACACAGAGGAGACUGUUCUGUCGGCAUGGCAGAAGAUUUUUCUGAAGGACAGAACACAACUAUUCCAGCAAGGAGGCAACUCAGCUCUAGGAGGCACGCCACCAACCGCUUACACUCACUAACAAAGCCCUGCAGAUUCAUUAGUGAGUGGUAAGGAGGACAGGAGAUACCAGUCACCAACAUGUGAACAAAC